AACGAACGCUGGCGGCAGGCUUAACACAUGCAAGUCGAACGCCCCGCAAGGGACGUGGCGCACGGGUGAGUAACGCGUGGAUAUCUGCCUUUUGGUUCGGAAUAACCCCGGGACACUGGGGCUAAUACCGGAUGGUUCCUACGGGAUAAAGAUUUAUCGCCAAAAGAUGAGUGCGCGUACGAUUAGCUAGUUGGUGAGGUAAUAGCUCACCAAGGCGACGAUCGUUAGCUAGUCUGAGAGGACGAUAAGCCACACUGGGGAUGAGACACGGCCCAGACUCCUACGGGAGGCAGCAGGGGGGAAUAAUGGACGAUGAGGGCAACCCUGAUCCAGCCAUGCCGCGUGAGUGGUGAAGGCGUUCGGUUUGUAAAGCACUUUUGGCGGCGACGAUGAUGACGGUACCCGCAGAAUAAGCCCCGGCUAACUUCGUG
rnacentral:rRNA from 1 species